rnacentral:rRNA from 1 species
CGUGCGGGAUGAAGGUCUUCGGAUUGUAAACCGCUGUCAAGAGGGACGAAACAAAUGACGGUACCUCUGGAGGAAGCCACGGCUAACUACGUGCCAGCAGCCGCGGUAAUACGUAGGUGGCGAGCGUUGUUCGGAUUCAUUGGGCGUAAAGGGUCCGCAGGUGGUUUGAUAAGUCUGACGUGAAAUACCGGAGCUCAACUCCGGAACUGCGUUGGAGACUGUUGAACUAGAGUAUCGGAGAGGAAAUUGGAAUUCCAGGUGUAGCGGUGGAAUGCGUAGAUAUCUGGAAGAACAUCGAAAGCGAAGGCAGAUUUCUGGACGAUGACUGACACUCAGGGACGAAAGCAUGGGGAGCAAACAGGAUUAGAUACCCUGGUAGUCCAUGCCCUAAACGUUGUAAACUUGAUAUGGGGAGAUUUACUCCUUUCCGUGUCGAAGCUAACGCGAUAAGUUUACCGCCUGGGAACUACGGCCGCAAGGCUAAAACUCAAAGGAAUUGACGGGGGCCCGCACAAGCGGUGGAGCAUGUGGCUUAAUUCGAGGCAACGCGAAGAACCUUACCCGGAUUUGACAUAUAUUGGAAUGCAAUGGAAACAUUGCCGCUCGCAAGAGUCGAUAUACAGGUGCUGCAUGGCUGUCGUCAGCUCGUGCCGUGAGGUGUUCGGUUAAGUCCGGCAACGAGCGCAACCCAUGUCAUCAGUUGCUACCAGGUAAAGCUGGGCACUCCGAUGAGACUGCCCGUGUUAAGCGGGAGGAAGGCGUGGAUGACGUCAAGUCCGUAUGGCCUUUAUAUCCGGGGCUGCACACGUGCUACAAUGGUCGGUACAGAAGGAAGCAAUGCCGCGAGGCGGAGCAGAUCCCCAAAACCGUACCUUAGUUCAGAUUGCAGUCUGCAACUCGACUGCAUGAAGCCGGAAUCGCUAGUAAAGGCGUAUCAGCUACGACGCCUUGAAUACGUUCCCGGGCCUUGUACACACCGCCCGUCACAUCAUGGGAGCUGAUUGCACCCGAAGUCGCUGCCCCGACCUGCAAAGGAGGGAGGCGCCUAAGGUGUGGUUAGUGACUGGGAUGAAGUCGUAACAAGGUAGCCGUUGGGGAACCAGCGGCUG